UUUUAUUUUGUUUUUAGUUAAAAGUUAUAGUUUCGAAAUAAAAAUUAUAGUUUAAAAUGGAAAAUUCAAUUGCAUAUCCUCGAAAAGUUGACGUAUUAAAAAUUUUUGUUACUGGUGACCAGAAAGUAGGCAAAGCAGCAUUUAUCAAAUGUGUAGUAUUCGGUGCUUAUGAUCCAUAUUUAGAGUCUGCACUUCAGUUGGAUUUUAUGACAAGAGAAAUAAAAGUAGAAGAUGAACUGGUUGUUGUUCAACUAUGGAAAACUGAGCCACCAUCAUAUCACUGUGCUAUUGUUAUUUAUGAUGUGACAAAUCGAAGUUCUUUUGCAUGUGCAUUGAAGAAACUUGAAUAUAUUCGCCAACAAAGUUCAAAUGAUUUGCCUGUGUUAUUGUUAGCAAAUAAAAUAGAUACAGACAAAAAAAGAAGUUUUAUACUCAGAUAAAGAAAAAAACCAUUGAAUCUGCGAGACUGUUUGCACUGUUAAAAAACCAUUGAAUCUGCGAGACUGUUUGCACUGUUAAAAAACCAUUGAAUCUGCGAGACUGUUUGCUCUGUUAAUGGCAUUUUGUGUGUUAAAGACAAGUGAUGUUACAUGAAGGUGAACUUGCUGCUCUUCAGCACAGCGCACUUUUUAAUGAGAUAAGUUGUACUGAGGCUACUAAUACAAGAGAG
rnacentral:misc_RNA from 1 species